rnacentral:rRNA from 1 species
AUGCAUGAUUCAAGUUCACAACCAUCAGCUUCACCUCAUACUCCAUUACCAUUCUCCACAAGCGAUGGCAACAAUGAGGUGGAGAUAUCUCACUUGAAGAAGAUGCUAGCAAAGUCAUUUGAAGUCAAGGACAUGGGAUAUCUUCACUACUUCUUGGGCAUUGAAGUUGCAUAUGGCCCAAAAGGUAUUUAUCUCUCACAAAGAAAAUAUGUGCUUGAUUUACUUGAGGAGACGGGGAUGCUAGGAUGUAAACCUGCAGUUACUCCAAUAGAACAGAAUCAUCGAAUCAUGGCAGAUGGUGGUGAUCCCGUUGAUAGGCACCAAUACCAGAGGCUAGUUGGGCGAUUAAUCUAUCUAUCACAUACAAGACCUGAUAUUGCGUAUGCUGUUAGUGUCGUAAGCAGAUAUAUGCAUGACCCAAGGAAGCUAUAA